GAUGAACGCUGGCGGCGUGCCUAAUACAUGCAAGUCGAGCGAACAGACGAGGAGCUUGCUCCUCUGACGUUAGCGGCGGACGGGUGAGUAACACGUGGAUAACCUACCUAUAAGACUGGGAUAACUUCGGGAAACCGGAGCUAAUACCGGAUAAUAUAUUGAACCGCAUGGUUCAAUAGUGAAAGACGGUUUUGCUGUCACUUAUAGAUGGAUCCGCGCCGCAUUAGCUAGUUGGUAAGGUAACGGCUUACCAAGGCAACGAUGCGUAGCCGACCUGAGAGGGUGAUCGGCCACACGGGAACUGAGACACGGUCCAGACUCCUAAGGGAGGCAGCAGUAGGGAAUCUUCCGCAAUGGGCGAAAGCAUGACGGAGCAACGCCGCGUGAGUGAUGAAGGUCUUCGGAUCGUAAAACUCUGUUAUUAGGGAAGAACAAAUGUGUAAGUAACUAUGCACGUCUUGACGGUACCUAAUCAGAAAGCCACGGCUAACUACGUG
rnacentral:rRNA from 1 species